UACAGAGGUGGCAAGCGUUGUUCGGAAUUACUGGGCGUAAAGGGCGAGUAGGCGGCCUUCUAAGUCAGACGUGAAAUCCCCCGGCUUAACCUGGGAAUUGCAUUCGAGACUGAAUAGCUAGGGUACGGUAGAGGGAAGCGGAAUUUCCGGUGUAGCGGUGAAAUUCGUAGAUAUUAGGAAGAACACCAGUGGCGAAGGCGGCUCACUGGCCCGGUACUGACGCUGAGGCGCGAAAGCGUGGGGAGCAAACAGG
rnacentral:rRNA from 1 species